AUUGAACGCUGGCGGCAUGCCUUACACAUGCAAGUCGAACGGCAGCACGGGGGCAACCCUGGUGGCGAGUGGCGAACGGGUGAGUAAUACAUCGGAACGUGUCCUUUUGUGGGGGAUAACCAGUCAAAAGACUGGCUAAUACCGCAUGAGAUCUCACGAUGAAAGCGAGGGACCGCAAGGCCCCGCGCGAUUGGAGCGGCCGAUGUCGGAUUAGCUAGUUGGCGGGGUAAAAGCCCACCAAGGCGACGAUCCGUAGCUGGUUUGAGAGAACGACCAGCCACACUGGGACUGAGACACGGCCCAGACUCCUACGGGAGGCAGCAGUGGGGAAUUUUGGACAAUGGGCGCAAGCCUGAUCCAGCCAUGCCGCGUGUGUGAAGAAGGCCUUCGGGUUGUAAAGCACUUUCGGCCGGAACGAAAUCGCGCGGGUUAAUAGUCCGCGUGGAUGACGGUACCGGAAGAAGAAGCACCGGCUAACUACGUGCCAGCCGCCGCAGUAA
rnacentral:rRNA from 1 species